rnacentral:rRNA from 1 species
CCUACGGGUGGCUGCAGUAGGGAAUUUUCGUCAAUGGGCGCAAGCCUGAACGAGCGAUGCCGCGUGAGUGAAGAAGUAAUUCGUUAUGUAAAGCUCUAUCAGCAGGGAAGAAAAUGACGGUACCUGAGUAAGAAGCCCCGGCUAAAUACGUGCCAGCAGCCGCGGUAAUACGUAGGGGGCAAGCGUUAUCCGGAUUUACUGGGUGUAAAGGGAGCGUAGACGGCAGUGCAAGUCUGGAGUGAAAGGCGGGGGCUCAACCCCCGGACUGCUCUGGAAACUGUACGGCUGGAGUGCAGGAGAGGUAAGUGGAAUUCCUAGUGUAGCGGUGAAAUGCGUAGAUAUUAGGAAGAACACCAGUGGCGAAGGCGGCUUACUGGACUGUAACUGACGUUGAGGCUCGAAAGCGUGGGGAGCAAACAGGAUUAGAUACCCGGGUAGUC